GCCGACGUGGUGAAAUUGGUAUACACGCCUGCCUUAGGAGCAGGUGCUUCCAGCGUGUGGGUUCGAGUCCCACCGUCGGCA
rnacentral:tRNA from 1 species